AAGUCGUAACAAGGUAUCCGUAGGUGAACCUGCGGAUGGAUCAUUACCAAUUUUAUAUAUUAGUGUGUAUGCCGCUGUCAAAGGUGGCACUACACUACUACUAUUAUGUAAACGUUGAACUAGAUCAAUUGGUGUGGAUUGCUUGGGAAUGGACGAAGCGACAAGCCUCUUCCGGACAGGCAAACCCCACACUGAUACCCUUUUCAAUAUAAUUUACUAGUACAUACUACAAACAAACAAAAGCUAUAAUAGGACUUAUAAACAGGCUGAGUGGGUAAAAUCCUCGGCUUAACCAAUAUAACUAUUACAACUUUCAGCAAUGGAUCUCUAGGCUCUC
rnacentral:misc_RNA from 1 species